UUGAUACUUAGUGCAUCGUUCUAAUGGUUAAAAACUAAUGACAAACUGAGUAAUUCUAAUCGCUACUAUACUUAUUGUGAUAAAAGGAUAUUCUAUUGUGACAACUAUAUAGUGCGAGUCUAUAUAUAUUGUAGUGAUGCUCUACCUCGAGAUCAAAAAUCUUAAUUGACAAUCACCGAGAUCUUAGUCAUGUGGGCUGGCC
rnacentral:lncRNA from 1 species